rnacentral:tRNA from 1 species
AAGGCCUUAGCUUAAUAAAAGCAUCUGAUUUGCAGUUAGAAGAUGCAGGUUAAUAUCUUGUAGGUCUUA